rnacentral:rRNA from 1 species
AUUGAACGCUAGCGACAGGCCUAACACAUGCAAGUCGAACGAGUGGCGGACGGGUGAGUAAUGUCUGGGCAACUGCCUGAUGGAGGGGGAUAACUUCUGGAAACGGUAGCUAAUACCGCAUACCAUCAGAUGUGCCCAGAUGGGGUUAGCUUGUUGGUGGGGUAAGGGCUCACCAAGGCGACGAACCCUAGCUGGUAUGAGAGGAUGAACAGCCACACUGGAACUGAGACACGGUCCAGACUCCUACGGGAGGCAGCAGUGGGGAAUAUUGCACAAUGGGCGCAAGCCUGAUGCAGCCAUGCCGCGUGUAGGAAGAAGGCCUUCGGGUUGGAAAGUACUUUCAGCGGGGAGGCGUUACCCGCAGAAGAAGCACCGGCUAACUCCGUGCCAGCAGCCGCGGUAAUAC